rnacentral:rRNA from 1 species
GAACGCUAGCUACAGGCUUAACACAUGCAAGGUCGCGGGGUAACAUCUGGUAGAGCUUGCUCUUCCAGGAUGACGACCGGCGCACGGGUGAGUAACGCGUAUCCAACCUGGCCCAUACCACGGGAUAGCCCGUCGAAAGGCGGAUUAAUACCGUAUGCUGUCAUUAAGAUGCAUAUAUUGAUGACGAAAGGACUGGCGGUAUGGGAUGGGGAUGCGUCUGAUUAGCUUGUUGGCGGGGUAACGGCCCACCAAGGCGACGAUCAGUAGGGGUUCUGAGAGGAAGGUCCCCCACAUUGGAACUGAGACACGGUCCAAACUCCUACGGGAGGCAGCAGUGAGGAAUAUUGGUCAAUGGGCGCAAGCCUGAACCAGCCAAGUAGCGUGAGGGAUGACUGCCCUACGGGUUGUAAACCUCUUUUGUUUGGGAAUAAAGUGCGGGACGUGUCCCGCAUUGCAUGUACCAUUUGAAUAAGGACCGGCUAAUUCCGUG